rnacentral:pre_miRNA from 1 species
AAAAAGGCAAACCCUGGGUUUCCGUGUCUAACUUUGACUGUCCAUCUUAUAUGAAAUUUUUUUAUAAUUCAUAUUUUCAUUGUUGUUAGAUGAUAAAACAUGAUUAAUAUUUUAUGCGUGACUUGUCUUUUUAAUUUUUUUCAUAAUUUUUUAAAUAAGACGGACGGUCAAACGUUGGACACGGAAACCAGGGUUUGCCUUUUUU